AUACGGAGGGUGCGAGCGUUAAUCGGAAUUACUGGGCGUAAAGCGCGCGUAGGCGGUUUGUUGAGUCGGAUGUGAAAUCCCCGGGCUCAACCUGGGGCCUGCAUCCGAUACUGGCAGGCUAGAGUCUGGUAGAGGGGGGUAGAAUUCCUGGUGUAGCGGUGAAAUGCGUAGAUAUCAGGAGGAAUACCAGUGGCGAAGGCGGCCCCCUGGACUGAGACUGACGCUGAGGCGUGAAAGCGUGGGGAGCAAACAGGAUUAGAUACCCCGGUAGUCC
rnacentral:rRNA from 1 species